rnacentral:rRNA from 1 species
UACGGGGGGGGCAAGCGUUGUUCGGAAUUACUGGGCGUAAAGGGCUCGUAGGUGGCCAACUAAGUCAGACGUGAAAUCCCUCGGCUUAACCGGGGAACUGCGUCUGAUACUGGAUGGCUUGAGAUUGGGAGAGGGAUGCGGAAUUCCAGGUGUAGCGGUGAAAUGCGUAGAUAUCUGGAGGAACACCGGUGGCGAAGGCGGCAUCCUGGACCAACACUGACAUUGAGGAGCGAAAGCCAGGGGAGCAAACGGG